GUAAGUGUGUAAAAAGAGCAGCGUUCACACGAUUUUACAAAAGACUGUACAUGCUGCCUGAGAUUCCUAAUAUAAAAUGAAUUCAUGAGGAAUUGAAUGGUGCUUGCUAUGUGCCUGACUGAUGAAAAUAAAGCAGCUUGCUUCAAGUAUGCCUAUUCUCCCCUCUUUAGAGAACAGAUCAUUCUGAUCUUUCUCUAAACCUUGUUUAAUCCAAAAGACAGAUUCUGGGUAUUAAAAAAAGAAUCUCAUAACCACUUAAGCGCUGGGCUGUCAUGUGUUGUGUGGUGAGAUUUGUUAUCAGCUGAGUGACCUGGUGACUGGCAUGAAGUAUUGUAGGAUGCCCUAGUGUGAUAGUAGUAGCAGUUUCAACAGCCAUUGCACAUGCUAUCAAUGCUCUGAGACACGCCGGCAUACCCUGUACCGGAGCUCGAACUACUUUGGAAAAGAAUGCUAUGGGACGCAUACCGCCUCCUUGCUCUUGUGCACAGACCGCGGCCAUGGUUUUACAAUUGUCCCAAAAAUACAAAUGAAAUGGUUUAAA